UGGGGAAUAUUGCACAAUGGGGGAAACCCUGAUGCAGCGACGCCGCGUGAGCGAAGAAGGUUUUCGAAUCGUAAAGCUCUGUCCUAUGGGAAGAUAAUGACGGUACCAUAGGAGGAAGCCCCGGCUAAUUACGUGCCAGCAGCCGCGGUAAUACGUAGGGGGCAAGCGUUGUCCGGAAUCACUGGGCGUAAAGGGUUCGCAGGCGGAAAUGCAAGUCAGUUGUGAAAGGCAGAGGCUCAACCUCUGUAAGCAAUUGAAACUGUAUUUCUUGAGAUGUGGAGAGGCAAGUGGAAUUCCUAGUGUAGCGGUGAAAUGCGUAGAUAGUAGGAAGAAUACCGGUGGCGAAGGCGACUUGCUGGACACAAACUGACGCUGAGGAACGAAAGCGUGGGUAGCAAACAGG
rnacentral:rRNA from 1 species